AAUUGAAACUUUGACUUAGUGGCGGACGGGUGAGGUAAUGCAUGAGCAACCUGCCCUGGAGAGGGGGACAACAGACUGGAAACGGCUGCUAAUAACCGCAUGAUGUUGCGGGGAGGCAUCUUCCUGCAACCAAAGAUUUAUCGCUCUGGGAUGGGCUCAUGUCUGAUUAGAUAGUUGGCGGGGCAACGGCCCACCAAGUCUGCGAUCAGUAGCCGGACUGAGAGGUUGAACGGCCACAUUGGGACUGAGAUACGGCCCAGACUCCUACGGGAGGCAGCAGUGGGGAAUAUUGGGCAAUGGGCGCAAAGCCUGACCCAGCAACGCCGCGUGAAGGAAGAAGGCUUUCGGGUUAGUAAACUUCUUUUAUCAGGGACGAAGAAAGUGACGGUACCUGAUGAAUAAGCCACGGCUAACUACGUGCCAGCCGCCGC
rnacentral:rRNA from 1 species